GUCCAACAUUUCUGAGUUGCAUAAUAUUCUCCAAGUGACUUAUGUUUAUAGUUCUGCUAUUUUUUCUAAAAUGUUAAAUCCACAAAAGAUUGCACAGUAUUUCCCAGCAUAGUACAUAAACCUGAAGAAUGAAAACAUAUUCUAAAUACUGCUCAACAGGUGGUAAAUGUGUGUUUAACUACGACACCCAGAAAAACAGGUGUGUUAAAACAUCAUAUGUAUUUAGCAGCAUGUAAUAGUUUUACUGAAAGUAUUGCUUGUUUAAACAGGCAGUAAAACAUGUAGCAGUGGAAUGACACCCUAAGUUUAGUGUGAUUAUUCCAGGAGCUAGUUCACCAAAAAGGCUUUUGAAUAUGAUGUCACUAAUAUUGAGGUUAUAAUAAAAUUGAAGUUAUAAUAAAAUUAAAAUUGAGUGUGAUAAUACCAAUAUUAAAUUAAAUCAAAUAGAUCAAGCAAUUCAGGAGAGAGGUGCAGCAAAAAUGUAUGGUGUGUAC